UUGCUUUCUUUGCUGGCGACCGGCGCACGGUGAGUAACACGUAUCCAACCUGCCCUUUACUCGGGGAUAGCCUUUCGAAAGAAAGAUUAAUACCCGAUAGUAUAAUGAUUCCGCAUGGUUUCAUUAUUAAAGGAUUCCGGUAAAGGAUGGGGAUGCGUUCCAUUAGGUUGUUGGUGAGGUAACGGCUCACCAAGCCUUCGAUGGAUAGGGGUUCUGAGAGGAAGGUCCCCCACAUUGGAACUGAGACACGGUCCAAACUCCUACGGGAGGCAGCAUG
rnacentral:rRNA from 1 species